rnacentral:rRNA from 1 species
CCUACGGGUGGCUGCAGUGGGGAAUUUUGGACAAUGGGGGCAACCCUGAUCCAGCCAUGCCGCGUGCGGGAAGAAGGCCUUCGGGUUGUAAACCGCUUUUAGCCGGGAAGAAAAGGCACGGGACAAUACCCCGUGUUCUUGACGGUACCGGCGGAAUAAGCACCGGCUAACUACGUGCCAGCAGCCGCGGUAAUACGUAGGGUGCGAGCGUUAAUCGGAAUUACUGGGCGUAAAGCGUGCGCAGGCGGUUCGUUAAGUUCGAUGUGAAAGCCCCG